GAUGAACGCUGGCGGCGUGCCUAAUACAUGCAAGUCGAGCGAACAGACGAGGAGCUUGCUCCUCUGACGUUAGCGGCGGACGGGUGAGUAACACGUGAAUAACCUACCUAUAAGACUGGGAUAACUUCGGGAAACCGGAGCUAAUACCGGAUAAUAUAUUGAACCGCAUGGUUCAAUAGUGAAACACGGUUUUGCUGUCACUUAUAGAUGGAUCCGCGCCGCAUUAGCUAGUUGGUAAGGUAACGGCUUACCAAGGCAACGAUGCGUAGCCGACCUGAGAGGGUGAUCGGCCACACUGGAACUGAGACACGGUCCAGACUCCUACGGGAGGCAGCAGUAGGGAAUCUUCCGCAAUGGGCGAAAGCCUGACGGAGCAACGCCGCGUGAGUGAUGAAGGUCUUCGGAUCGUAAAACUCUGUUAUUAGGGAAGAACAAAUGUGUAAGUAACUAUGCACGUCUUGACGGUACCUAAUCAGAAAGCCACGGCUAACUACGUG
rnacentral:rRNA from 1 species